CUUGGUUUUUUAUAGGAAUUAAAAGUCUCAACAAGGUUUCCGAAGGUGAACCUGCGGAAGGAUCAUUG
rnacentral:rRNA from 1 species